rnacentral:rRNA from 1 species
AUGGGAACGCGAAGAACCUUACCUAGACUUGACAUCUUCUGCAUUAAUCGUAAUGGAUGAAAUCCCUUGGGGACAGAAUGACAGGUGGUGCAUGGUUGUCGUCAGCUCGUGUCGUGAGAUGUUGGGUUAAGUCCCGCAACGAGCGCAACCCCUAUUAUUAGUUGCUAACAUUAAGUUGAGCACUCUAGUGAGACUGCCCGGGUUAACCGGGAGGAAGGUGGGGAUGACGUCAAAUCAUCAUGCCCCUUAUGUCUAGGGCUACACACGUGCUACAAUGGUGGGAACAAAGAGAUGCAAUACCGCAAGGUGAGCUAAACUCAAAACCCCAUCCCAGUUCGGAUUGUAGGCUGAAACUCGCCUACAUGAAGCUGGAGUUGCUAGUAAUCGCGAAUCAGAAUGUCGCGGUGAAUACGUUCCCGGGUCUUGUACACACCG